UGAUGCUUCACCCAGACCAUUGCACAUCACAUCAGAGAGGAAGACACAUGUGUGAUUCAUUUUCUUAAGCCUCAAGUCUAAGGAUUUACCUAAGGACCCAGGAAUGUCAUGAGGUCCUGUUUCCUCCUUUUACUUAAAAAAGUCACCUUCAUGUGAAAUAAUCUGCUAUUUUGCCAAACCGGUCUGUCAGUAUAAGGAAGCCUGGGAAUGCCUUAGCGGACCUAUAGAAAUCAUUGUGCAUCCGUGAGGAAGGUGUCGGAACCACACGGCUCUGAGGGCAUGGGGAGAAAACGUUCUGUGAACGUCUGGACUCCAAAGCUUGAAGAAAAGUUUCUCAACAGCCUGCAUCCGCUACCAAAGUUUUCAUGUUGCACGAGCCAGUAUUAAACGUCAGUGAAUUACAGCUUUUUGGUGCAUUAACCUUAACUUUAAGACAUUUACCAAAGGAGUUCUAAUCACUGGAGCCCAGGGGAAACAUUAGUAUUAUAAUCUAUACUGCAGCCCAGUAUUGAAAACUUUAUUAGCAUGCGGGAUGAUAUAUCAAGAUCUCUAAAAAAAAUGAAUCAUUUUCGCAAUUUGUCUUUGCAACCAUUAAAACUUUCUAUAAACAUAGAUCUAUGCAUCCAAUAAAGAGCAUCCAAUAUGA